rnacentral:rRNA from 1 species
GAAUUUAAUAUAAUUUUAUUUAAAUUAAGUUUGUAUAUAAAGAGAUAUUAAAAUAAAAUGAAAUUAUAUUUAGUUGGGAGGAUUAUUAAAUUUAAUAAACUUUAAUUAAAAUAUAAAAUAUGAAUUAGUAAAUUUUAGAGUGGUUAAUAAAUUUAAUAAGAAUUAAUUACCUUAGGGAUAACAGCGUAAUAUUUUUAGAGAGUUCAUAUUGAUAAAAAUGUUUGC